AUCGUUCAGCCACAGCCACAACGGAACGAGGAGAAAUGGUGGCUGCCCGUUCCCUGUGUCCCCCUCGGUGGCCUCUCCGAGAAAAGCAAGAAACAUCUGAGGCAGAAGCACGACCGUGCCAGCCAGAUUCACAAGGCAGCAAUGGCGAUAAACAGUGGGAUUCUUUCUGAAAUGCAGAUUCCAGAAUCAUACAUGUCUUCCCUGCCAAAGGUACUGAUUUGAAAAAUUCUUGAUUCUGUAAAAAAUUCUGCAAAGAAAAGAUGCUAAACAGUUUCUGCAAUUAUACUCAGAGUGGAAAAGCAAUUGUGGGGGAUACAAUCUACCGCUACAUGUACAAUGCAGAGAAGUUCUCACCUGAUCAUCUGCUUGAUUCUCUCAACAUAAGCUCCGAGCACGAAGCCCUCGAGCUGGCAGACAAAGUGGAGGCUUCCAUGCACACGUGGCGAAGGAAAAUGUGCGUUGCUCACUCGAAAUCAUCAUGGGACGUGGUUAAAGAUCUUGUGUCCGACAUAGACAGGAACGACAAGAAUCAUGUCUUGGCAGCAAGAUCCGACACGCUCUUGUUCUGCUUGAAGCAGAGAUAUCCCGAGCUUUCACAAACUACAC
rnacentral:lncRNA from 1 species